rnacentral:rRNA from 1 species
CGGAGGGUGCAAGCGUUAUCCGGAUUCACUGGGUUUAAAGGGUGCGUAGGUGGGUUUGUAAGUCAGUGGUGAAAUCUCCGAGCUUAACUCGGAAACUGCCAUUGAUACUAUAGAUCUUGAAUUAUCUGGAGGUGAGCGGAAUAUGUCAUGUAGCGGUGAAAUGCUUAGAUAUGACAUAGAACACCAAUUGCGAAGGCAGCUCACUACGGAUAUAUUGACACUGAGGCACGAAAGCGUGGGGAUCAAACAGGAUUAGAUACCCUGGUAGUCCACGCCCUAAACGAUGGAUACUCGGCAUCAGCGAUACACUGUUGGUGUCUGAGCGAAAGCAUUAAGUAUCCCACCUGGGAAGUACGACCGCAAGGUUG